GACACCGCCCUUUCACGGCGGUAACACGGGUUCGAAUCCCGUACGGGUCA
rnacentral:tRNA from 1 species